CGGACGGACGUGCCUGCAUGGAGAACACAGGGGCAGAAGGUUUCCAUACCUUUCUCCUACCAGUGGAGCCUUAAGCAGGGGCAACAUUUUUUCUGAGGCAGGGCCUGUAACCCAGGACCCAUCACUUAGGUAUGGUGUCCAUGACAACCAGGCAAUGGUAUGGGAUCCCUUCUCACUGGGGAAUUCCUUUUAUGGCUCAUUUCCGAAACCAGCAUGGCCAGUACAGGAUUCUGCAGUUUCCCAGUUGCUUAGCAACCAGCUCCAAUGCUCUAGUCACUGGGAAAAGCAGACAGGUUUUUUUGUGUGUGUGUGUGUGUGUGUUUGUCGUCAGAAUCGUAUGUUACAUUCUCUCUACUUUGUCUCUUUAGAAUAAAAUAAUUAGUGUGUGAUAAGGAUGCGGGAAAAGGGCAACCGCUCCCCGUUGUUAAUGGCUCGACUGCUCCUGGAGGGCUGUUGCAGGCAGGGCGAGGGAGGAAAAUGUUAGCAUGCUUUCGGCUGGUAAUUAAGCAGCGCGAGCCAUCUGCACAUUGAAAGCUCUACAUUUUUCACGUCUCGUGGGGGCAUCAAAAUUUUCUAGACUGGAGCAUAUCCCCCAUCAGCCUCCACCCUGGCUUUAUACGGAAGACCCUCCAGACCCCUGAUCACUUAAAAUACCUUGUGAACUCCAUUAUUCCUUUCUUGAAAUGCAUCAACCAGAACUGCACAUUCUUUUCAAAGUAAGUGCCUAAGAAACAUUGGAGGGAAAGAGAUAUGGAUGUCUCUGUUGUCACACCAUCUAUUUAUUCCUGAGAAGCUCCCAUGGUCUACAUCAUGGGCUGAUGGGGACAAACUGGGUUGGGGUAGACCACACUCAAAGCCCAUGCAACUUUGUAACCAGAGCACUAGCAAAAACUUUGUCAAAACUAACAAAAUGGGGGCACCUGGGUGGCUCA